rnacentral:rRNA from 1 species
UCUUGGUCAUUUAGAGGAAGUAAAAGUCGUAACAAGGUCUCCGUUGGUGAACCAGCGGAGGGAUCAUUACAGAGUUGCAAAACUCCCUAAACCAUUGUGAACGUUACCUAAACCGUUGCUUCGGCGGGCGGCCCGGGUCCUUCCCGGCGCCCAUCGGCCCUCGCGGGCGCCCGCCGGAGGUAAACCAAACUAUUGCAUUGUAUGGCCUCUCUGAGUCUUCUGUACUGAAUAAGUCAAAACUUUCAACAACGGAUCUCUUGGUUCUGGCAUCGAUGAAGAACGCAGCGAAAUGCGAUAAGUAAUGUGAAUUGCAGAAUUCAGUGAAUCAUCGAAUCUUUGAACGCACAUUGCGCCCGCCAGUAUUCUGGCGGGCAUGCCUGUUCGAGCGUCAUUUCAACCAUCAAGCCCCGGGCUUGUGUUGGGGACCUGCGGCUGCCGCAGGCCCUGAAAUGCAGUGGCGGGCUCGCUGUCACUCCGAGCGUAGUAGUUACAUCUCGCUCUGGGCGUGCUGCGGGUUCCGGCCGUUAAAAGCCUUAUUUACCCAAGGUUGACCUCGGAUCAGGUAGGAAGACCCGCUGAACUUAAGCAUAUCAAUAAGCGG